UACAGAGGUCUCAAGCGUUGUUCGGAUUCAUUGGGCGUAAAGGGUGCGUAGGCGGCGCGGUAAGUCGGGUGUGAAAUCUCGGGGCUUAACUCCGAAACUGCAUUCGAUACUGCCGUGCUUGAGGACUGGAGAGGAGACUGGAAUUUACGGUGUAGCGGUGAAAUGCGUAGAUAUCGUAAGGAAGACCAGUGGCGAAGGCGAGUCCCUGGACAACUUCUGACGCUGAGGCACGAAAGCUAGGGGAGCAAACAGG
rnacentral:rRNA from 1 species